UUUCUAUUUCUUGCCUGGGCACUGUAUUGUCUACCACGGUGCUCCCUAGUCCGGUCCGUCAGAUCCCCAUCUAACGAUCCAAAGGAAAAAAGACACUAACGUCCAAAACAGCGCUAGUAGAAUUUCCCUUCCUCUUCUCUUUUUUUUUUUUCCCGUGCCCGUUCCAGUUCAUCCCCAUUCUCCUCUCUGCUCGCCCCUCCUCGACGUCCCUUCCCGAUCUCCACCGCUGAUUCAACCUUGUCGGGGGCGAGCGGUCCGACGAAAAUCCUCGGCGGAGUAUCCCUGGUUGGUUCGAGUAGUGGUGGACCAGUUUGGUCGGCGCGGAGAAGCGGAUCAAGGAGUUCGGGCGCGGGUGUGUCCGUUCUGGGAGGGUCCCGUCUGCGGCGGGGCGCCGCCAAUCCGAUGAUUCUGAGGCGGCGCGAGGUCCUUGGUGAAGGAUAUCUUCGCCGCUGCUCCAGGAUUCGACGCUAUUGUGGCGUCGCGACCGUCAUCGUAAUAGUGGUCAAAGGAGAGCAUCCGCGUAGAGGCGCUGUUAAUAAACCAUGGCGGUCUACACUUGGAGAAAGCAAGAAUACUAAGAAAGUACAUUCAGUUCUUAUCGGUGCACAAAGUUGGAAAGGGUUCGUUUGAUUUUGGAUCAGUUCUCGUCUGUACACUCUGUCCGUCUUUAGUGUAGUUGGAUUUAGGAGGUGUACAUUGUGUGUAUCCAUUUUCCUUCUGUUUUCUUAGUUUGAAACUGGUAAACCUCGUCUAGAUUAGGAUGUAUUUUUUGCGGAAACAAACUUUUAUCCUGAUGCUUGCUUUGCUUUGGUGCGCCUGGUGGAGUAAAUCUAGUGCUUCUCCAAAAAAUAUGCAUGUAAUUUCUGGUUCUGACUGGGGCGCACUCUACCGUGCCGGAAACUAAGCGAGAAAAAGUGGUCCUAGGCCACAUUUUUCUCUUCUGUUAAUGUGUCACUAUCAGGUGACGGGACCACUUUCCCUUUCUGUUGUUUGGUUUUUCUGGAAAUAA